rnacentral:rRNA from 1 species
CCUACGGGGGGCAGCAGUGGGGAAUAUUGCACAAUGGGCGAAAGCCUGAUGCAGCAACGCCGCGUGAAGGAAGAUGGUUUUCGGAUUGUAAACUUCUGUUCUUAGUGAAGACUAAUGACGGUAACUAAGGAGCAAGCCACGGCUAACUACGUGCCAGCAGCCGCGGUAAUACGUAGGGGGCAAGCGUGGGCCGGAAUUACUGGGUGUAAAGGGAGCGUAGGCGGGAAGCCAAGUCAGCUGUGAAAACUACGGGCUUAACCUGUAGACUGCAGUUGACACUGGCUUUCUUGAGUGAAGUAGAGGGUGGCAGAAUUCCGAGUGUAGCGGUGAAAUGCGUAGAGAUUCGGAGGAACACCGGUGGCGAAGGCGGCCAACUGGGCUUUAACUGACGCUGAGGCUCGAAAGUGUGGGGAGCAAACAGGAUUAGAUACCCUUGUAGUC